rnacentral:rRNA from 1 species
UACGGAGGAUGCGAGCGUUAUCCGGAUUUAUUGGGUUUAAAGGGUGCGUAGGCGGGAUGCCAAGUCAGCGGUAAAAAUUCGGGGCUCAACCCCGUCGUGCCGUUGAAACUGGCUUGCUAGAGUGGGCGAGAAGUAUGCGGAAUGCGUGGUGUAGCGGUGAAAUGCAUAGAUAUCACGCAGAACUCCGAUUGCGAAGGCAGCAUACCGGCGCCCAACUGACGCUCAGGCACGAAAGCGUGGGUAUCGAACAGG